rnacentral:rRNA from 1 species
CGGGACACGUGGUAUCCUGUCUGAAUAUGGGGGGACCAUCCUCCAAGGCUAAAUACUCCUGACUGACCGAUAGUGAACCAGUACCGUGAGGGAAAGGCGAAAAGAACCCCGGCGAGGGGAGUGAAAAAGAACCUGAAACCGUGUACGUACAAGCAGUGGGAGCACGCUUAGGCGUGUGACUGCGUACCUUUUGUAUAAUGGGUCAGCGACUUAUAUUCUGUAGCAAGGUUAACCGAAUAGGGGAGCCGAAGGGAAACCGAGUCUUAACUGGGCGUUAAGUUGCAGGGUAUAGACCCGAAACCCGGUGAUCUAGCCAUGGGCAGGUUGAAGGUUGGGUAACACUAACUGGAGGACCGAACCGACUAAUGUUGAAAAAUUAGCGGAUGACUUGUGGCUGGGGGUGAAAGGCCAAUCAAACCGGGAGAUAGCUGGUUCUCCCCGAAAGCUAUUUAGGUAGCGCCUCGUGAAUUCAUCUCCGGGGGUAGAGCACUGUUUCGGCAAGGGGGUCAUCCCGACUUACCAACCCGAUGCAAACUGCGAAUACCGGAGAAUGUUAUCACGGGAGACACACGGCGGGUGCUAACGUCCGUCGUGAAGAGGGAAACAACCCAGACCGCCAGCUAAGGUCCCAAAGUCAUGGUUAAGUGGGAAACGAUGUGGGAAGGCCCAGACAGCCAGGAUGUUGGCUUAGAAGCAGCCAUCAUUUAAAGAAAGCGUAAUAGCUCACUGGUCGAGUCGGCCUGCGCGGAAGAUGUAACGGGGCUAAACCAUGCACCGAAGCUGCGGCAGCGACACUAUGUGUUGUUGGGUAGGGGAGCGUUCUGUAAGCCUGUGAAGGUGUACUGUGAGGUAUGCUGGAGGUAUCAGAAGUGCGAAUGCUGACAUAAGUAACGAUAAAGCGGGUGAAAAGCCCGCUCGCCGGAAGACCAAGGGUUCCUGUCCAA